rnacentral:rRNA from 1 species
UUGCAGUUAAAAAGCUCGUAGUCGAAUGUAGAGUCUUAAAUGCCGAAAUGUCUUUUUUUUUAGAGACAAUUUUUUUUGGCGCUUAAGAUUCUUUUUUACCGAUUACUAUUUGUUUUUAAGUAAACAAAUUUGGUGUAUCGGUAAUUUUUACUGUGAAUAAAUUAGAGUGUUCAUGGCAGGCCAAUAGGGCUUAAAUAUCUCAGCAUGGAAUAAUAGAAUAGGACUUCUGGUUCUAUUUUGUUGGUUUUUGGAGCCGAAGUAAUGAUUAAUAGGAAUAGUUGGGGGCACUCGUACUCCGUUGUCAGAGGUGAAAUUCUUG